rnacentral:rRNA from 1 species
UCCAGACUCCUACGGGAGGCAGCAGUAGGGAAUCUUUCACAAUGGGCGAAAGCCUGAUGGAGCAACGCCGCGUGCAGGAUGAAGGCCUUCGGGUUGUAAACUGCUUUUAUAAGCGAGAAAUAUGAUGGUAACUUAUGAAUAAGGAUCGGCUAACUCCGUGCCAGCAGCCGCGGUAAUACGGAGGAUGCGAGCGUUAUCCGGAUUUAUUGGGUUUAAAGGGUGCGUAGGCGGACGCUUAAGUCAGCGGUAAAAUGGCGGGGCUCAACCUCGUCGAGCCGUUGAAACUGGGUGCCUUGAGUGGGCGAGAAGUACGCGGAAUGCGUGGUGUAGCGGUGAAAUGCAUAGAUAUCACGCAGAACUCCGAUUGCGAAGGCAGCGUACCGGCGCCCAACUGACGCUGAAGCACGAAGGCGUGGGUAUCGAACAGGAUUAGAUACCCGCGUA